AAUUUUAUUUAUUUAUUUAUUUAUUUAUUUAUUUAUAAAGUAUUAAAAAUAAUUAUAUAGUUAAAUAGUUUAAUUAUUGUAUAAAGAAAAAAUAAUUUUAAUAAUAGUUUAAUAGUAUUGUGAAAGAAUAUUGAAAUAUUUUGAAAAAUUAUUAUUGUGAAAGAAAAUUUUAUUUAUUGUACCUUGUGUAUCAGGGUUUAUUUAUUAAAAAAUAAUUAUUGUAUUUUUCUCGAUUUUAAAAGAUUUAAUAAAUUAUAUUGGUUAAUGUGACAAAAUUAUUAAAAAUAAUUUAUUAGAAAUGAAAUGUUAUUCGUUUUUAAAGGUAUCUAGUUUUUUAAGAAAUAAAUUUAAUUUAGUUUUUAUAUUAUUAUUAUGUUAUUUAUUUAAUAUAAUAAAUUUAUAAAAAUAAUAUUUUAUGGGAUAAGCUAUAAAAUAAAUUUUUAAAAAUUAUUAAGUAAUGUAAAAAAUAUAUGCUUAGAAUUAGCAAUUAUUAAUAAAUAUGUUAUAUUUUAUUUUGUAGUAUAAAUUAUUUAUUAAAAUUUUAAAUUAUUUAUUAAAAUAUUUAUUUUAAUUUUAAAAAUAAAUUAAUAAUGAUAAAAUUAGUAUAUAAUAAGUGUAUUAAUAAUAUAUUUUGAUAGGUUUUUAUAAAGAAUUCGGCAAAUCUAAUAUUCGCCUGUUUAACAAAAACAUGUCUUUUAGAAUUAAAUUUAAAGUUUGACCUGCCCACUGAAUUUUUUUAAAUGGCCGCAGUAUUCUAACUGUGCAAAGGUAGCAUAAUCAUUAGUCUUUUAAUUGAAGGCUUGUAUGAAUGGUUGGACGAGAUAUUAACUGUUUCAUAAAAAUUUAUAAUAGAAUUUUAUUUUUUAGUCAAAAAGCUAAAAUUUAUUUAAAAGACGAGAAGACCCUAUAGAUCUUAAUAAUUUUAAAAUUUUAAUUAUAAAGAUUUAUUUAAUUAUAAUUAUUAAAAUUAUUUUAUUGGGGUGAUAUUAAAAUUUAUAAAACUUUUAAUUAAUAAUUUAAACAUUUAUUUAUGAAUAAUUGAUCCAUUAUUAGUGAUUAAAAAUUUAAGUUACCUUAGGGAUAACAGCGUAAUUUUUUUGGAGAGUUCUUAUCGAUAAAAAAGAUUGCGACCUCGAUGUUGAAUUAAGAUAUAAUUUUGGGCGCAGCCGUUCAAAUUUAAAGUCUGUUCGACUUUUAAAUUCUUACAUGAUUUGAGUUCAAACCGGCGUGAGCCAGGUUGGUUUCUAUCUUUAAAAAUAUAUAAUAUUUUAGUACGAAAGGGCCAAAUAUUAGAAAAAUUAUUUUUUAAAAAAUUGAAUAAAAUUAAUAUUUAAU
rnacentral:rRNA from 1 species